AGCUUAUAACUAAGCUAGACAUUAAAAUAAUUGAUUGUACGAAGAAUUAAGUCAAGGAGGUGAGAGGUUCAUAACCACAUCAUACAUGGAUCAUAUUAAGCACGUUCUGAGCGUUCGUGUUAGUGGGGUACACCGACCUCUGAUUAGUGCGCACCAAACAAUAAUUGUCAGCUCAAAUUUAAAAGUAAACUUCAGAUUUGAACUGGGCCUAAGAGUUGCUCAUCACCCAGUGGACUCCGUUCACCCAAAAACAUGGGCCUGUCAAAACCUCCUCGGUCGCCUCCUGCCAGAUUUACAGCGUACCACCUUCCCAACUGAAGCCCAUUAUCCUACCUCUGAACCGAAAAGUUCUCAACUGUAAAAUCUUCUCUCUUUCUGCAACAUAGCGAAGAAUCUGCAAUAGCAGUUCUGAAAGCUUUGAUUUUCUUGAUUUGAAUCCAAUUUCUCUGCAUGUCAGUCAAUGUGUUGCCGGAAUUGGCAAAUGGGCAAGUGGAUUCAUUGUCCCCGCCGUAGAUUCUGCCGACAGGAAAAGCUUCCGGACGCAUUGCCUCUGCCCAUUUCACCCUCAACCUCCUCCCCCUUCUGGGAGUUGGGCAGACAUCAAUGGCCUCCCCUGUGACACCUCUCUGCCUAAUCCAAAUGCGUAUAUAGAUACAAUAGACUGGAACCCCAUUAUCGAUCCUGCGCUCGUUAAGGAGGUGGAUCAUGAAUACUUUGCUCCUGAUGAGGGAGAAGGGAAUGGCAAGAUAUUCAGAUUUUGUUCCUCCCGAUGAACAUAACAUGACCCUAGAUAAUCAUACAAAUCCUUGGUAAUGUGACAACAUUCAGGGUAGUGGACAUUUGAUAAAUACAGCUCGGGGCAGGAACCAGCGGGAGACUAAUGGUGACGGCCCUUGGGAAUGUGGAAUUACUCAAGGCAAUGAAAGUACGAAGAAAAAUACAUGGGAAGAUAGCAGGAAUGAGUCGCUGGGAUGGAACCAGGUGGGGGACAGUAUCACUCCAACAAAGGGUUGGGAUAAUGGUGUCAAUUCUUGGGAAGGAGGCUAUCAGGACGUGCCUCAGUGAAAGGUGGUACAUGGGCUGAUCCGGUAUCGAAUUCUUGGGGCUGCAACCAGGAGUCAAAAGACUUGGGUCGUGGUGAAAAUUCUUGGGAGUAUGGUCUUAGUCGAAACAGCAUGUCUCUAAAUGAUAAAGAAUGGAGAGAUCGUGGAGAAGAUGAAUGGAGUCGGAAACAGUGGGAGAGCCAGAAUAACCAGAAAAAUAAUUUGGAUUUUAGGAUAACAAAUAGUGGUCGGGGAGCAAGGAACGACGGUGGCCAUAAGACACCCUCACCAGUAUAGAUCAGGCAAUAAAAGCUCAAGAUUUCAAUGGAGGGAAUAUCAAACAGGUAACAGAAAGAGGGUAAGUUUUGCGUAAGAGUAGCGAGUGCUAGAAGACGAGGUAUCCCUUUUGGUUCGUGUGUUUUGAAUUGCCAGCCUCAUAAUAGUAGAUAUGCAGGCAUGAUCGACAUGUAUAUAUGUCAUUUCUGUUAUAUCAUCUCCUACAGGAAAAUGUUCUUCCACAGAGAGCAAUUCGAUGAAUCGUCCAACCUUCCGGGGUGGUAAACAGCAUCCAUCCGAUGAAUCAAUAGCGUUGCGGGUUUUGAAUUUUGAUGGUUACACGCAACUUUUGCAGCACGUAUCAUUGCACAAUUACUCGACAAUUACUCGAAUGUAUUAAUAGCAGAGCGUUGUCCUGCAGAUGCUUUCCCGGAAAGAAGUGAGAUACAUAUAAUGUUUACUGGAUAAGCUCACAAUAAUAAAUUGACUAGCAACAACAACAAAGCUUUUUUUCACUAA